GUCCUGAUUACAGCAGCAAUAUUGUAGGUCUUAAUAUCAGGUGGUGGUCCUUCCAUUUUAUUCUUCUUUUUCAAGAAUUUUUAAGCUGUUCUAAGGCCUGUCCUGUCCAUAUACAUUUUAGAAUAAGCUUAUCUGUGUCUACUAAAAUUCUUUCUGGAAUUUCGAUAGGAAUUGCAUUAAACCUUUAGAUUAAUUCGGGGAAAAUUAACAUUUUUACUAUGUUGAGUCUUCCAGUCCAUGAAUACGAUAAUGUCUCCAUUUAUUUAGUUCUUCUUUGAUCUCUUUCAUCAGCAUCUUUUUUCUUUUUUUUUUGCAGUACGCGGGCCUCACUGUUGUGGCCUCUUCCGUUGCGGAGCACAGGCUCCAGACGCCCAGGCUCAGCGGCCAUGGCUCACGUGCCCAGCCGCUCCGCGGCACGUGGGAUCCUCCCGGACCAGGGCAUGAACCCACGUCCCCUGCAUCGGCAGGCGGACUCUCAACCACUGCGCCACCAGGGAAGCCCUCAUUAUCAUCUUUUAAUUUGCAGCAUACAGAUCUUGUCCAUGUUUUGUUAAGAGACAUCCCUCUCCCUCUCAGGCCUCCUCCUCCAAGAAGCUUUCCCUGCUGUGCAGAGAGGACCAAACGCACGGCCGGGGCAGAAGCGUGGCCCUCGAGGCGGUCGGCCUGGCCACUCACUAGCUGUGUGACCUCGAGGAAGUGACCUGGCUUCUCCAGCUUCAGUCCCUGGUCCGUAGAAGGACGAUGUUGGAGGACAUUCCUCGUGGGCUUGGAGUGAGCCUCUGCGGGAAGGCUCGGGAAGCGCUGCCCGCCACGGGAAGGAGGCGGAAGCCCUCGGCGGCCCGCGCCACACCAGGCCUCGCCUCUCUGAGGAGCGGCCCCCGGCCCGUGCCCGAAGGUGGAGGGGGGACGCACGCCCUGGGGCCCGGGGCCGCUGGGCGCCGGGAGCUCCGCCUGGUUCUCAACGCCAGCAUUUACAGCUCCCGGGAGACACAACCCCUGUCAGCCAUUCACACUUGGCGGGCAGGCGGCGCUCAAGGCUGCGAGGGCGCGGGAGAUGCCGUCCUGCUCUGCCCCCUGCCCGGCUCCCUGCCGGGCUCCCUGCAGCCCGCGGCCGGCCGGAGGUCCGUACCACCGAGAGACCGGCUGGUCUCUGCGCGCCUAGAGCGGCACCGGAAGCUCCCCGGGCGGGGCCUCGGGCCGAUUUCCGGCCGCGGCGUGCGGGCGGCCGUGCGGGCUUUGUCAGCAGGCCAGCGGGGCGGGCGGCCAGCGGUCCGCGUGCGGGGCGCGCGCCGUCCUCUCGCCGCUGGGCGCCGGACUGACGGGUGACUAGAAGGUGACUCCGGAGCCUGAAUUUCUGAGCAUGGAAAUCUGCAGAAGACAG
rnacentral:lncRNA from 1 species